GCCUAACACAUGCAAGUCGAGCGGCAGCACAAGUGAGUUUACUCAUGAGGUGGCGAGCGGCGGACGGGUGAGUAAUGCCUAGGGAUCUGCCCAGUCGAGGGGGAUAACAGUUGGAAACGACUGCUAAUACCGCAUACGCCCUACGGGGGAAAGAGGGGGACCUUCGGGCCUCUCGCGAUUGGAUGAACCUAGGUGGGAUUAGCUAGUUGGUGAGGUAAUGGCUCACCAAGGCGACGAUCCCUAGCUGUUCUGAGAGGAUGAUCAGCCACACUGGGACUGAGACACGGCCCAGACUCCUACGGGAGGCAGCAGUGGGGAAUAUUGCACAAUGGGGGAAACCCUGAUGCAGCCAUGCCAGCGUGUGUGAAGAAGGCCUUCGGGUUGUAAAGCACUUUCAGUAGGGAGGAAAGGUUGUAAGUUAAUACCUUGCAGCUGUGACGUUACCUACAGAANGAAGGACCGGCUAACUCCGUGCCAGCAGCNCAGCGGUAAAUACGGAGGGUCCAAGCGUUAAUCGGAAUUACUGGGCGUAAAGCGUGCGCA
rnacentral:rRNA from 1 species